UACGGAGGGUGCAAGCGUUAUCCGGAUUCACUGGGUUUAAAGGGUGCGUAGGUGGGUCUGUAAGUCCGUGGUGAAAUCUCCGAGCUUAACUUGGAAACUGCCAUGGAUACUAUAGGUCUUGAAUAUUGUGGAGGUCAGCGGAAUAUGUCAUGUAGCGGUGAAAUGCUUAGAUAUGACAUAGAACACCAAUUGCGAAGGCAGCUGGCUACGCAUAUAUUGACACUGAGGCACGAAAAGCGUGGGGAGCAAACAGG
rnacentral:rRNA from 1 species